GAUGAACGCUGGCGGCGUGCCUAAUACAUGCAAGUCGAGCGAACAGAAGAGGAGCUUGCUCCUCUGACGUUAGCGGCGGACGGGUGAGUAACACGUGGAUAACCUACCUAUAAGACUGGGAUAACUUCGGGAAACCGGAGCUAAUACCGGAUAACAUGUUGAACCGCAUGGUUCAACAGUGAAAGACGGUCUUGCUGUCACUUAUAGAUGGAUCCGCGCCGCAUUAGCUAGUUGGUAAGGUAACGGCUUACCAAGGCAACGAUGCGUAGCCGACCUGAGAGGGUGAUCGGCCACACUGGAACUGAGACACGGUCCAGACUCCUACGGGAGGCAGCAGUAGGGAAUCUUCCGCAAAGGGCGAAAGCCUGACGGAGCAACGCCGCGUGAGUGAAGAAGGUCUUCGGAUCGUAAAACUCUGUUAUUAGGGAAGAACAAAUGUGUAAGUAACUAUGCACGUCUUAACGGUACCUAAUCAGAAAGCCACGGCUAACUACGUG
rnacentral:rRNA from 1 species